UUUUUCCAGGGUCAAUCAGACUCCAUUAGACGUGAACUUGUCAAGAUGACCUCCCUUAUCAGCAAGUUCUUGGUUCUUUUCUUCAUCAUUUUGGCUGUGAGCUUUGAGUGCUCCGCAGCUCCCAGUGAACCCAUGCAUCCAGGAGAUCAAGCAUCCCCAGAGCAACUGGCCAAGUAUUAUGAAGACUGGUGGCAGUAUAUAACUUUUAUCACCCGCCCCAGAUUUGGAAAAAGAUGGGAACAACCUGGGGUAGAAAACAGUCACAGCUUCUAAUAGUGUAUGAAGAUCCUUGAGAAUAAAGAACCCAGUGGGAGAAUGAUCUUCUUGGUUUUAGGAGACUGCAGUGGAACAGGCUGAAUGGAGACAGGAGACCCAAAACACCUCUCUAGAUAGACCUUUUGUGUUUGAAAUAUACCCAUCUUGUAGUGUUGUGUAAAGAAAAUUACUACUUCCCUGGUGAUCUGUGUAAUAAAAACCAAUUCCAGCC